rnacentral:rRNA from 1 species
AUGUUGAAGUAUUUUCAUGACAAAAUGAUCGAGAACCCAUCUUUUCAAUAUGCUUUGCAACUGGAUUGUGAGGAAGAUAUAGCCAACAUAUUUUGGGCUGAUGCUAAAAUGCUUCUUGACUAUGCACACUUCGGUUACGUUGUCACAUUUGAUACAACUUUUGGCACAAACAAAGAAUAUAGGCCAUUUGGUGUUUUUCUUGGGCUCAAUCAGUUCAGAGAAACCACCAUUUUUGGCGCGGCAUUGCUAUUUGAUGAAACAUUUGAGUCAUUUAAAUGGCUUUUUGAGACUUUUCUAGCUGCACAUAAUGGGAGCCAACCUAGAACUAUUUAUACGGAUCAAGAUGCGGCCAUGGGGAAAGCUAUAGAUAAUGUCUUCACGGAAUCAUAUCAUGGAUUGUGCACCUUUCAUAUAACUAGAUGA